UACGGGGGGGGCAAGCGUUGUUCGGAAUUACUGGGCGUAAAGGGCUUGUAGGUGGCCAACUAAGUCAGACGUGAAAUCCCUCGGCUUAACCGGGGAACUGCGUCUGAUACUGGAUGGCUUGAGUUUGGGAGAGGGAUGCGGAAUUCCAGGUGUAGCGGUGAAAUGCGUAGGGAUGUGGAGGAACACCGAUGGCGAAGGCAGCCUCCUGGGCCAGCACUGACGCUCAUGCACGAAAGCGUGGGGAGCAAACAGG
rnacentral:rRNA from 1 species